rnacentral:rRNA from 1 species
GCGAGCAUUGCGGAUGGGAACUUUAAGGAGACUGCCAGGGACAAACUGGAGGGAGGCGGGGACGACGGAAAGUCAUCAUGGCCCUUACGUGCAGGGCUACACACGUGCUACAAUGGUCGGUACAAAGGGUUGCUACACAGGGAUGUGAUGAUAAUCUCAAAAAGCCGAUCGUAGUCCGGAUUGGAGUCUGCAACGCGACUCCAUGAAGUCGG